rnacentral:rRNA from 1 species
CGACCGCUGGCGGCAUGCCUAACACAUGCAAGUCGAACGAGACCUUCGGGUCUAGUGGCGCACGGGUGCGUAACGCGUGGGAAUCUGCCCUUGGGUUCGGAAUAACUCGCCGAAAGGCGUGCUAAUACCGGAUGAUGACGUAAGUCCAAAGAUUUAUCGCCCAAGGAUGAGCCCGCGUUGGAUUAGCUAGUUGGUGAGGUAAAGGCUCACCAAGGCGACGAUCCAUAGCUGGUCUGAGAGGAUGAGCAGCCACACUGGGACUGAGACACGGCCCAGACUCCUACGGGAGGCAGCAGUGGGGAAUAGUGGACAAUGGGCGAAAGCCUGAUCCAGCAAUGCCGCGUGAGUGAUGAAGGCCUUAGGGUUGUAAAGCUCUUUUACCCGGGAUGAUAAUGACCGUACCGGGAGAAUAAGCUCCGGCUAACUCCGUG